rnacentral:rRNA from 1 species
GACGAACGCUGGCGGCGUGCCUAAUACAUGCAAGUAGAACGCUGAAGAGAGGAGCUUGCUCUUCUUGGAUGAGUUGCGAACGGGUGAGUAACGCGUAGGUAACCUGCCUUGUAGCGGGGGAUAACUAUUGGAAACGAUAGCUAAUACCGCAUAACACUGGAUGACACAUGUCAUUUAUUUGAAAGGGGCAAUUGCUCCACUACAAGAUGGACCUGCGUUGUAUUAGCUAGUAGGUGAGGUAAUGGCUCACCUAGGCGACGAUACAUAGCCGACCUGAGAGGGUGAUCGGCCAAACUGGGACUGAGACACGGCCCAGAACCCUAAGGGAGGCAGCAGUAGGGAAUCUUCGGCAAUGGGGGCAACCCUGACCGAGCAACGCCGCGUGAGUGAAGAAGGUUUUCGGAUCGUAAAGCUCUGUUGUAAGUCAAGAACGGGUGUGAGAGUGGAAAGUUCACACUGUGACGGUAGCUUACCAGAAAGGGACGGCUAACUACGUG